GUUUGAUCCUGGCUCAGAUUGAACGCUGGCGGCAGGCCUAACACAUGCAAGUCGAACGGUAACAGGAAGAAGCUUGCUUCUUUGCUGACGAGUGGCGGACGGGUGAGUAAUGUCUGGGAAACUGCCUGAUGGAGGGGGAUAACUACUGGAAACGGUAGCUAAUACCGCAUAACGUCGCAAGACCAAAGAGGGGGACCUUCGGGCCUCUUGCCAUCGGAUGUGCCCAGAUGGGAUUAGCUUGUUGGUGGGGUAACGGCUCACCAAGGCGACGAUGCGUAGCCGACCUGAGAGGGUGAUCGGCCACACUGGGACUGAGACACGGCCCAGACUCCUACGGGAGGCAGCAGUAGGGAAUCUUCCGCAAUGGACGAAAGUCUGACGGAGCAACGCCGCGUGAGUGAUGAAGGUUUUCGGAUCGUAAAGCUCUGUUGUUAGGGAAGAACAAGUACCGUUCGAAUAGGGCGGUACCUUGACGGUACCUAACCAGAAAGCCACGGCUAACUACGUGCCAGCAGCCGCGGUAAUACGUAGGUGGCAAGCGUUGUCCGGAAUUAUUGGGCGUAAAGGGCUCGCAGGCGGUUUCUUAAGUCUGAUGUGAAAGCCCCCGGCUCAACCGGGGAGGGUCAUUGGAAACUGGGGAACUUGAGUGCAGAAGAGGAGAGUGGAAUUCCACGUGUAGCGGUGAAAUGCGUAGAGAUGUGGAGGAACACCAGUGGCGAAGGCGACUCUCUGGUCUGUAACUGACGCUGAGGAGCGAAAGCGUGGGGAGCGAACAGGAUUAGAUACCCUGGUAGUCCACGCCGUAAACGAUGAGUGCUAAGUGUUAGGGGGUUUCCGCCCCUUAGUGCUGCAGCUAACGCAUUAAGCACUCCGCCUGGGGAGUACGGUCGCAAGACUGAAACUCAAAGGAAUUGACGGGGGCCCGCACAAGCGGUGGAGCAUGUGGUUUAAUUCGAUGCAACGCGAAGAACCUUACCUGGUCUUGACAUCCACGGAAGUUUUCAGAGAUGAGAAUGUGCCUUCGGGAACCGUGAGACAGGUGCUGCAUGGCUGUCGUCAGCUCGUGUUGUGAAAUGUUGGGUUAAGUCCCGCAACGAGCGCAACCCUUAUCCUUUGUUGCCAGCGGUCCGGCCGGGAACUCAAAGGAGACUGCCAGUGAUAAACUGGAGGAAGGUGGGGAUGACGUCAAGUCAUCAUGGCCCUUACGACCAGGGCUACACACGUGCUACAAUGGCGCAUACAAAGAGAAGCGACCUCGCGAGAGCAAGCGGACCUCAUAAAGUGCGUCGUAGUCCGGAUUGGAGUCUGCAACUCGACUCCAUGAAGUCGGAAUCGCUAGUAAUCGUGGAUCAGAAUGCCACGGUGAAUACGUUCCCGGGCCUUGUACACACCGCCCGUCACACCAUGGGAGUGGGUUGCAAAAGAAGUAGGUAGCUUAACCUUCGGGAGGGCGCUUACCACUUUGUGAUUCAUGACUGGGGUGAAGUCGUAACAAGGUAACCGUAGGGGAACCUGCGGUUG
rnacentral:rRNA from 1 species